rnacentral:rRNA from 1 species
UGAGGAAUAUUGGUCAAUGGACGCCAGUCUGAACCAGCCAAGUCGCGUGCAGGAUGACGGCCCUAUGGGUUGUAAACUGCUUUUAUAUGGGGAUAAAGUGGGGAACGUGUUCCCUUUUGCAGGUACCAUAUGAAUAAGGACCGGCUAAUUCCGUGCCAGCAGCCGCGGUAAUACGGAAGGUUCGGGCGUUAUCCGGAUUUAUUGGGUUUAAAGGGAGCGUAGGCCGUUUGGUAAGCGUGUUGUGAAAUGUAGGAGCUCAACUUCUAGAUUGCAGCGCGAACUGUCAGACUUAAGUGCGCACAACGUAGGCGGAAUUCAUGGUGUAGCGGUGAAAUGCUUAGAUAUCAUGAAGAACUCCGAUUGCGAAGGCAGCUUACGGGAGCGCAACUGACGCUGAAGCUCGAAGGUGCGGGUAUCGAACAGG